rnacentral:rRNA from 1 species
GGUACCUACGGGAGGCAGCAGUAGGAAAUCUUCCACAAUGGGCGAAAGCCUGAUGGAGCAACGCCGCGUGCGGGAUGAAGGCUUUCGGGUUGUAAACCGCUUUCAGCAGGGAAGAUAAUGACGGUACCUGCAGAAGAAGCCCCGGCUAACUACGUGCCAGCAGCCGCGGUAAUACGUAGGGGGCAAGCGUUAUCCGGAUUCAUUGGGCGUAAAGCGCGCGCAGGCGGGCCGCUAAGCGGGACCU